UACGGAGGGUGCGAGCGUUGUCCGGAAUCACUGGGCGUAAAGGGCGCGUAGGUGGCGCGAGUAGUCAACGGUGAAAGCCCGGGGCUCAACCCCGGGUCGGCCGCUCGGAUACUCUCGUGCUUGAGCACUGUAGAGGCAGGUGGAAUUCCGGGGUGUAGCGGUGGAAUGGCGUAGAGAUCCGGAAGAACACCGGUGGCGAAGG
rnacentral:rRNA from 1 species